CCUAGUGUUCAGAUACCUGGGGAAAUGGCUCUGGUUCCUUUGGAGAAAAAUUGAGAGAAUCAUGACUCUGCAGAUCAUCUUUCCCAUGCCUUGGUCACCUCUCCAGUCAGUGGAGUCUCUGUUCAAACACUGGCAGAGGGACUUCUCCAUUUCUUAGAAAGGUAAAUCAAGCGUCACAUCAACUGAAUGACUUCAUGUGGACUAAACCCAAAAUGCGAGCCUACAGGAUGCCUUCAGGAGUUCUGCGUGAACUAUCAAUGAAGCACUCUCCAGGAGCAGAAAAAUGUGUCCGCCUGCAGAAAUACAACCCAGUCACAAAUGUACACAUGCAAAUAUGUCAAACUCAGAAGUGCUGUGUUAGCUCCGCAAGACAAAAAUAAAAGCCAACUUGUAAUUCUUGAAUGCCUGUUUGCUAGGCAUCACUUUUCUCAAAAAUCCUCUGAGGCAAGUACAGUUCUUAUUGUCUUCAUUUU
rnacentral:lncRNA from 1 species